CAAGUCGAGCGAACUUCUUCGGAAGUGAGCGGCGGACGGGUGAGUAACGUGUGGGUAACCUGCCCUAUACACACGGAUAACGUACCGAAAGGUACGCUAAUACGAGAUAACAUAUUUUUAUCGCAUGGUAAGAAUAUCAAAGCUCCGGCGGUAUAGGAUGGACCCGCGUCUGAUUAGCUAGUUGGUAAGGUAACGGCUUACCAAGGCGACGAUCAGUAGCCGACCUGAGAGGGUGAUCGGCCACAUUGGAACUGAGACACGGUCCAAACUCCUACGGGAGGCAGCAGUGGGGAAUAUUGCACAAUGGGCGAAAGCCUGAUGCAGCAACGCCGCGUGAGCGAUGAAGGCCUUCGGGUCGUAAAGCUCUGUCCUCAAGGAAGAUAAUGACGGUACUUGAGGAGGAAGCCCCGGCUAACUACGUGCCAGCAGCCGCGGUAAUACGUAGGGGGCUAGCGUUAUCCGGAAUUACUGGGCGUAAAGGGUGCGUAGGUGGUUUCUUAAGUCAGAGGUGAAAGGCUACGGCUCAACCGUAGUAAGCCUUUGAAACUGAGAAACUUGAGUGCAGGAGAGGAGAGUAGAAUUCCUAGUGUAGCGGUGAAAUGCGUAGAUAUUAGGAGGAAUACCAGUUGCGAAGGCGGCUCUCUGGACUGUAACUGACACUGAGGCACGAAAGCGUGGGGAGCAAACAGGAUUAGAUACCCUGGUAGUCCACGCCGUANACGAUGAGUACUAGCUGUCGGAGGUUACCCCCUUCGGUGNAGCAGCUAACGCAUUAAGUACUCCGCCUGGGAAGUACGCUCGCAAGAGUGAAACUCAAAGGAAUUGA
rnacentral:rRNA from 1 species